rnacentral:rRNA from 1 species
UACGAGGGGGGCAAAUGUUGUUCGGAUUCACUGGGCGUAAAGGGUGCGCAGGCGGCCGUGUGUGUGAGGCGUGAAAGCCCGGGGCUUAACCCCGGAAUUGCACCUCAAACUACAUGGCUAGAGCAUUGGAGAGGGUAGCAGAAUUCAUGGUGUAGCAGUGAAAUGCGUAGAUAUCAUGAGGAAUACCAGAGGCGAAGGCGGCUACCUGGACAAUUGCUGACGCUCAGGCACGAAAGCGUGGGGAGCAAAAGGG